AACGAACGCUGGCGGCAGGCCUAACACAUGCAAGUCGAGCGGACCUUUCGGGGUCAGCGGCGGACGGGUGAGUAACGCGUGGGAAUAUGCCCUUCUCUACGGAAUAGUCCUGGGAAACUAGGGGUAAUACCGUAUACGCCCUUUGGGGGAAAGAUUUAUCGGGGAAGGAUUAGCCCGCGUUGGAUUAGGUAGUUGGUGGGGUAAUGGCCUACCAAGCCGACGAUCCAUAGCUGGUUUGAGAGGAUGAUCAGCCACACUGGGACUGAGACACGGCCCAGACUCCUACGGGAGGCAGCAGUGGGGAAUCUUAGACAAUGGGGGCAACCCUGAUCUAGCCAUGCCGCGUGAGUGAUGAAGGCCUUAGGGUUGUAAAGCUCUUUCAGCUGGGAAGAUAAUGACGGUACCAGAAGAAGAAGCCCCGGCUAACUCCGU
rnacentral:rRNA from 1 species